GGAGAGAGAGAGGAAGAAGAGGAGGAGGAAGAGGAGGAGGAGGAGGAAAGAAAGAGGAGGGCUGGUGACAUGGCUCCCUGAUAUCCAGGAUGAUAUCCAGUGGCUACAAUGGGCGACAUCCCAGGUUUGUGCCCGAAUGACGAUGUGCCUGCUCCCCUCUACCAGAGUCUGGAGCCCCUCCCGUCGAGUGGAACUGACUUUGGAGCACUGGGGGAGGAAGCCGAGUUUGUGGAAGUUGAGCCGGAAGCGAAACAGGAAAUCCUGGAAAACAAAGAUGUGAGUAUUCUGUGGAACAUCUUGAUG
rnacentral:lncRNA from 1 species